rnacentral:sRNA from 1 species
CAUCUUAGUACUUUUUCAGGGGAUAAUGAAGCAGUUUAUUUAAUAUUAUUUGGAUAACAAGCCUCCACAUGAACAGGAUUCGAAUGUCAGUUGUCUUAGGGGAAAAAAGCGUUAUUGGUUGGUAAAUAUUGGGAAAGAAAAGCUGAUGAAGACGAGCGUCAGCUGCAGCCUCUGCCGGGAGCAGGAGGACAGGCCCGCGUUGUAUGUGGGCCUGCGAAGGCAAAACCCCUGAAUGUCUGUCUUUGUUGGUGGGUGUAAAAGUGGAGGCCGCUACAAAUAAUUUCUUAUUUCUGUUCGCAUAGAUUUUAAAUUAUGUAGCGUCCCUACCUUGUUAAGUAUUAAAGCGUUCUUGUUUAAGGAGAAGGCACUUAAAUAAUGAAGCUUAUGUAUCUUGUUUUCAGACAUCAAUAUCUGGCUUUGAGUGGCACAAAGGGGUAAAGGAAUGUGGAUUCAG